CAGCACUGGGUUUGACUGCACACAUAUUCUUACAUGUGACGAGCAAAAUGACCCAUUGAGCUUCUCUGAUGACACAAGUUCAGUAGGGACACCUGGGCCAUCCGUUCAGUCAUCCAGGCUGUCGUCUGUAGGCACUUCCCCGCUUGCCUCCCUUACCAGCCCAAGCACCAGCAGAGGCGUGCUCGUGGUAAGGGUAAUACUCAUAAACAUA